GCCGSGAUAGCUCAGUUGGUAGAGCASAGGACUGAAAAUCCUCGUGUCACCAG
rnacentral:tRNA from 1 species